ACGUCUGUAGAAAAUCCAACAAACAAGAAGGGAUCAUCAGAGUCUCACAUGAGAAGAAGAAAGCCAAACGUAGCCACAGGAUUGACUUGCCGGGAAAUCAAUUCCCACCGGAUCAAUGCAAGCUUCUAUUAUGAGCUUGCUUCGCCGGCAAGUCAUCCUUGGCUCCAUUCCACUCUCCUCCUCUUCAUGAAAAACUCGCCGACCACACAUUAACCUCAAAUGGUGGUUUCUUCACAAUUCUUUUGUCCUUCUCACAUCUAUCUCUCUGUCUCAUGCUAUAUCUUGCUUGAUUGACGCCACGGUAUAUAUUGGCAGUGGAGCUAGUGGGAAAUAAUUAGUGAUUCUCUUGGAGGGUCCCCAAUAUUCUCAAUUCGACCCACCAUUCAAAAAUUAGUCGGAAGAGGCGAGUGGCUAUUGUUUCUUUUAAAAAGGCAAUCAUGAAUACUGCAUUCUAUCUGUUCGAUGAAAAGCAUCACUUUUGUCGAUGUAUUCCGAUUUCUUCUGGGGUCUUCACUCGCCACCCGUCGUUUACUCAUCGGGCUUCAUUGCUGGAUUCCCCUGUUGUGGGCAUAGAAUCUUGCAAAAGAUGAGUGGUCACCUUAGAAUGCCCAUAAUAUUUGGAUAGGUCAAAGGCUCAGAUGGUAUGGCUCCCACGUCUCGUUAGCUUUGAAUUUUGAAUCAUGCAGAGUCUAAAUUCAGUGAGAAGUUACAAGGGAAAGUGACUGAAGCAGCCACAAGACUGUGAUGGGAAUUAGAAGGCGAAAAGGGUAAGAAGAUAUGGGAGACCUCUUUCUAGAAUUGACACGUUAAGGAGGCAUGAGAUUGCUAAGAAUGUGAUACUGUUACAGAAUAACUUUAUCCAGAAAACGGUGGUUCAGAACAAAGUAAAGAAGGGAGAUCAUUGUUAUUGCUGCUUGUGGCUGGUGCAUUUUGUCCAGAAACAGAUCUCUCAGAAUAAUGUAGCAUCUUAUGGGCAAAACUUUAGAUAUGAAUAUGUAUUGAUAAUUGAAAUAUGAAUUACUAAUAUAUUCGAUGCGUUGACUGCAAUUUAUAUCAGCAUGACAUGACACUACAUUUUGAAUAAGAAUAACCGCACUUGCUUUA